GUCGUCAUCACUGCAGCUCUCCAAGUCUUUGUUUGGCUUCUCUCCACCUGAAGUCAAUGUAGCCAUCUUCACAAACUUCUGAUACAGCAAGUUGGGCUUGGGAUGAUUAUAACGGGUGGUCUCCUUAGAAAGGCUCCUUAUCUGUACUCCAUCCUGCCCAGUUUCCACUACCAAGUUGGCCGCAGUCUUGUUGAAGAGCUCAUUCCACCAGUGGUUUGUGAACUCCUUGGCAGGGUCAUGUCCUACCCCAUGAGUGUCUUGCUUCAGUGUCACCCUGAGAGCCUGAGUGAUACCAUUCUCCUUCCGGCCGAGGCCUUUGCCUUGAGUCCAUCCAUGCUUU
rnacentral:misc_RNA from 1 species